UUGAAAAAGUGAACUCUGACCAAUGGGACCAGACUGGUCGACCCAUACACUCUCACUCAGUGGAUGGAUGAUUUAACAGGAUUGCUGAAGGUUCACAAACAUCAAUGUGGGAUAUCCAGGGAGUGUUCACGACUGCAGGGUGUUGUUGCGGAACUCUGACCUUACAGAAGAGGCGAGAGGGGAACUCUCUUCCCACAAGACACUGAAGUCAUUUGUGGCACAGCAGUGCCCAUCAUGCUUCUCAGUGAUCCAGCCCAUUCUCUGUGUAUAGCUGGAUCAUCAAGGUAUACCCAGAGAAUGGGCUGUCAGAGGACCAACGCCGCUUCAGCUACUGUCUUAGUAGAGCCAGAAUGACGAUCAAGUGUUCAUUCGGAAGACUUAAGAGCAGAUGGCGAUGCUUGAGCAAGCAGUUGGGUGUGGACAUCAUGAAUGUGCCUUAUGUCAUCACAGGUACCUACUGAUAUAACUUACUUUGUACACUGUAAGAAAUGUCUGUAAAAUUAACAUUAAGAUGCCGUAAAAUCAUGACAUCAAAAAUCUGUAACAAGAAAAACAAUGAAUCAGUGUAUAUU